AUGACCACCGGGGAUGAACAACUUUUGUCACGUGACCGCAAAAGUCAACGCCGGUUGCAGAAACAGAUUGUAAUCUUGUACAUUAAGAAACAUGACGCUCGUGUGUGAAAUCUGUGGAAAGACAUUUAAAUCGAAGUGGGGGUUAAAGCUUCAUGAUAAGCGCCACAGAGGGACUGGACGAUUCGCCUGUUGUGGAAAAACAUUUUACACAAAACAGGCGUUCAACAGACACAGAUGCAGCAUUCAUGGUGUUGAAAAGCCGUUCCCCUGUGAACAAUGCGGCAAAAAGUUUUCAACCAAAGAUGACCUGAAUCGUCACGUCCGGAGGGAGGUUGCUGCAAAGCAAUUUACCUGCUCAAUUUGCAAUGCAACGCUCCGGGAGAAAAUUGACCUUCAGGCCCACCUUGCCACCCACACUGGAGAGAAAAACUUUGCUUGUGAUAUGUGUGAAAAGAGGUACAGGCACCGCAGUAGUCUAUCAAAGCACAGAUCUGCAAAGCACCGGGCCUAGUCAUCUGUUGCAUGACGAUGAUAAGACCAAGAAUUAUUUUUAAUUCUUACCAAUGUGCCGUGGUUAUUUUCUUAAUUAUUGAAAAUACAGACUGUCAUACAAUAAUAUAUAGUAUUACGCGUGUUUUUGCGUCUUAAACAUUGUGUUUCAUAUCGUUUAUCUUGUGUUGUUUUGUUUGAUAUUCCUGUUUUUAAUAAGAUUAUUGUUGUAAUAUUUAUCAUUCUAAUUUAAAAUGAUUAUGAUAAUGGUUGAUCUCAUACAAAUUAUUGUGUUCAUUAUUGCUCAUCUGUGAUUACUGUUGAUCUCAGCCCAUGAAUUGUGAUUUAUAUUGAUUAUCUGUGAUUAUUGUUGAUCUUAUCAAAAUAAUUGUAAUUUAUGUUGAUUAUCUGUGAAUUUUUUAUCUUAACCUAUUAAUAGUGAUUUAUAUUAUCUGUGAUUAUUGUUGAUCUUAUCAAAAUCAUUGUGAUUUAUGUUGAUUAUCUGUGAUUAUUGUUGAUCUCAACCGAUUAAUUGUGAUUUAUAUAACCAGUGAUUAUUGUUGAUCUUUUCAAAAUCAUUGUAAUUUAUGUUGAUUAUCUGUGAUUAUUGUUGAUCUUUUCGAAAUCAUUGUAAUUUAUGUUGAUUAUCUGUGAUUAUUGUUGAUCUUUUCAAAAUCAUUGUAAUUUAUGUUGAUUAUCUGUGAUUAUUGUUGAUCUUUUCGAAAUCAUUGUAAUUUAUGUUGAUUAUCUGUGAUUAUUGUUGAUCUUUUCAAAAUCAUUGUAAUUUAUGUUGAUUAUCUGUGAUUAUUGUUGAUCUCACCAUAUCCGCUGGAAUGUACAUUUGAGCCGCGCUCUGUGAAAAGGGGGUUUAAUGCAUGUGCGUAAAGUGCAGUCCACAUAGGCUAAUCAGGGACGGCACUUUCCGCUUUUAUGAUAUGUUUUGUUAAAAGAAAGUCUCUUCUGAGCAAAAAUCGAGUUUAUCGGAAAGGUUUGUCCCUAAUUAGCCUGUACGGAAUGCACAGGCUAAUAUGUGACGACACCUUACGCACAUGCAUUAAACCCCCUUUUCACAGAGCGAGACUCAUUUGUAAUCUGCGAUUUUUGUUUAUCUAUUUCGAAUCAAUAUGAUUAAAAUAUAUUUUUGGUGAGUUAGCUUUUUGUCUCAUUGGAAUCAUUGUGCGAAUUGUCAACAAUUACAUGUAAAUCUGUAAUUCCUUCUCAAGUUGCACAUAGGCCAGUUUAAUGUUUUGCGUAUAAGCUAUUAUUGCGAUACGGGAUAUUCUUUGCAGCAAUAAAACAAUUAAUCUGCA